GGGAUGGUGCAGACGGGUGAGUACGCGUGGAACGUGCCUUUCACUACGGAAUAGCUUUUGGAAACGAAAGGUAAUACCGUAUACGCCCUCCGGGGGAAAGAUUUAUCGGUGAAAGAUCGGUCCGCGUUAGAUUAGCUAGUUGGUGAGGUAACGGCUCACCAAGGCUACGAUCUAUAGCUGGUCUGAGAGGAUGAUCAGCCACACUGGAACUGAGACACGGUCCAGACUCCUACGGGAGGCAGCAGUGGGGAAUAUUGCACAAUGGGCGCAAGCCUGAUGCAGCCAUGCCGCGUGAAUGAUGAAGGCCUUAGGGUUGUAAAAUUCUUUCGCCAAGGAUGAUAAUGACAGUACUUGGUAAAGAAGCCCCGGCUAACUUCGUGCCAGCAGCCGCGGUAAUACGAAGGGGGCUAGCGUUGUUCGGAAUUACUGGGCGUAAAGCGCACGUAGGCGGACUUUUAAGUCAGAUGUGAAAUCCCGAGGCUCAACCUCGGAACUGCAUUUGAAACUGGGAGUCUAGAGAUCAGGAGAGGUUAGCGGAAUACCGAGUGUAGAGGUGAAAUUCGUAGAUAUUCGGUGGAACACCAGUGGCGAAGGCGGCUAACUGGACUGAUACUGACGCUGAGGUGCGAAAGUGUGGGGAGCAAACAGGA
rnacentral:rRNA from 1 species